GAACUGCGAUAAGUAAUGUGAAUUGCAGAAUUCAGUGAAUCAUCGAGUCUUUGAACGCACAUUGUGCCCCCUGGCAUUCCGGGGGGCAUGCCUGUCCGAGCGUCAUUGCAGCCCUUCAAGCCCGGCUUGUGUGUUGGGUCGUCGUCCCCUCCGGGGGACGGGCCCGAAAGGCAGCGGCGGCACCGCGUCCGGUCCUCGAGCGUAUGGGGCUUUGUCACCCGCUCGAUAAGGACCGGCCGGGCGCCAGCCGGCGUCUCCAACCUUUUUUUCUCAGGUUGACCUCGGAUCAGGUAGGGAUACCCGCUGAACUUAAGC
rnacentral:misc_RNA from 1 species